rnacentral:tRNA from 1 species
ACCGAAACAGCUCAGUUGGGGAGCGUUAGACUACAGAUCGAAAAAUCCCAGGUUCGAUCCCGGAAUACGGCA